GUGCCAGCCGCCGCGGUAAUACGUAGGGGGGCGGGCGUGUUCCGGAUUUAUUGGGCGUAAAGAGCUCGUAGGCGGUUCAACAAGUCGGUAGUAAAAGGUUCAGGGCUCAACCCUGAAAUGUCUAUCGAUACUGUUGUGACUAGGAUACGGCAGAGGUGAGUGGGAAUUCCGAGUGUAGCGGUGAAAUGCGUAGAUAUUCGGAGGAACACCAAUUGCGAAGGCAGCUCACUGGGCCACUAUCGACGCUGAGGAGCGAAAGCUAGGGGAGCAAACAGGAUUAGAUA
rnacentral:rRNA from 1 species